AAUGAACGUUGGCGGCGUGGAUUAGGCAUGCAAGUCGCGCGAUAAGUCCCCGCAAGGGGACGGAAAGCGGCGAAAGGGACAGUAAUGCGUAGAUACCUACCCUCGGGCUCGGGAUAGCUGCGGGAAACUGCAAUUAAUACCGAAUAACGUCUCCGGACUAAAGGUGUGAUUCCGCCUGGGGAUGGGUCUGCGUCCUAUUAGCUAGUUGGCGUGGUAACGGCACACCAAGGCAAAGAUGGGUAGCAGGUGUGAGAGCACGACCUGCGUCACUGGGACUGAGACACUGCCCAGACACCUACGGGUGGCUGCAGUCGAGGAUCUUCGGCAAUGGGCGCAAGCCUGACCGAGCGACGCCGCGUGCGGGAUGAAGGCCUUCGGGUUGUAAACCGCUGUCAGAGAGGCGGAAAUAUAGGGGGGUUCUCCCUUCUAUUUGACCUAUUCUCAGAGGAAGUGCGGGCUAAGUCCGUGCCAGCAGCCGCCGUAA
rnacentral:rRNA from 1 species